ACAAAUCGGAAGAAAUGGCUGAGAAGAUGAAAUCAGUAUUGGAGGAAGAGAUGAUGUAAUUGUUGUUAACCGAAUGCAAAAUAAAGAAAUUGAUAACAUUUGUAUAAACCCUUUUCGAUUGUUUAUGGAAAAUGUACCAGUUCAGACUACUUUUGAAGACUUAGAGAAGUUGUUUACAACAGCAUCAGAGGUUGUUUACAUGCCUAACAGAUGUUUAGCUCACAUGAUAUACAAAUCCAAAGAAGAGCAGAGAAG